CCCUAGCCCAGAUGGACGUGGAAAUCCUUUUGAAAAGAACAGCUAUUUUUUCUUGUUCCGGGAGAGCGACUAACAGAAGCUCCUUCCGGGACUUAGAAAAAAAGCAGUUCUUGAAAAAGAUUACAACGAACAGCUGGAUUAGCU
rnacentral:sRNA from 1 species